rnacentral:rRNA from 1 species
CGGCGGACGGGUGAGUAACACGUGGAUAACCUACCUAUAAGACUGGGAUAACUUCGGGAAACCGGAGCUAAUACCGGAUAAUAUAUUGAACCGCAUUGUUCAAUAGUGAAAGACGGUUUUGCUGUCACUUAUAGAUGGAUCCGCGCCGCACUAGCUAGUUGGUAAGGUAACGGCUUACCAAGGCAACGAUGCGUAGCCGACCUGAGAGGGUGAUCGGCCACACUGGAACUGAGACACGGUCCAG